rnacentral:tRNA from 1 species
GCAUUGGUGGUUCAGUGGUAGAAUUCUCGGCUGCCACGCGGGAGGCCUGGGUUUGAUUCCCAGCCAAUGCA